rnacentral:rRNA from 1 species
AUUGAACGCUGGCGGCAUGCUUUACACAUGCAAGUCGAACGGCAGCGGGGUAGUGCUUGCACUACUGCCGGCGAGUGGCGGACGGGUGAGUAAUAUAUCGGAACGUACCGAGUGAUGGGGGAUAACCAAUCGAAAGAUUGGCUAGUACCGCAUACGUCCUGAGGGAGAAAGCGGGGGAUCGCAAGACCUCGGGUUGUUCGAGCGGCCGAUAACUGAUUAGCUAGUUGGUGGUGUACAGGCCUACCAAGGCGACGAUCAGUAGCGGGUCUGAGAGGACGAUCCGCCACACGGGGACUGAGACACGGCCCCGACUCCUACGGGAGGCAGCAGUGGGGAAUUUUGGACAAUGGGGGCAACCCUGAUCCAGCCAUGCCGCGUGUAUGAAGAAGGCCUUCGGGUUGUAAAGUACUUUUGUUAGGGAAGAAAAGGGAAGUGCUAAUGCCACUUUUUGCUGACGGUACCUAAAGAAUAAGCACCGGCUAACUCCGUG